AAGUCUGGAGUGAAAGGCCGGGGCCCAACCCCGGGACUGCUCUGGAAACUGCCUGGCUGGAGUACAGGAGAGGUAAGUGGAAUUCCUAGUGUAGCGGUGAAAUGCGUAGAUAUUAGGAGGAACACCAGUGGCGAAGGCGGUCUGCUGGACAGCAACUGACGCUGAGGCGCGAAAGCGUGGGGAGCAAACAG
rnacentral:rRNA from 1 species